rnacentral:misc_RNA from 1 species
GGCCAAUGAUCCCACUAUUGAGAGAAUUAUCACCCCUCGAAUUGCUCUCACAACUGCAGAAUAUUUAGCUUAUGAAUGUGGGAAGCAUGUUCUAGUUAUACUGACUGACAUGAGUUCCUAUGCUGAUGCUCUUCGUGAGGUAUCUGCUGCUCGAGAAGAGGUGCCUGGAAGGCGUGGAUAUCCUGGGUAUAUGUAUACUGAUCUGGCAACAAUUUAUGAGCGUGCAGGGCGUAUUGAAGGCCGAAAGGGCUCUAUCACUCAAAUUCCAAUCUUAACUAUGCCUAAUGAUGACAUCACACACCCCACCCCAGAUCUUACCGGUUAUAUUACUGAGGGUCAGAUAUACAUUGAUAGGCAACUUUACAAUCGGCAGGUGAUUUGGACACCUACACUCUGUUAAUUUGUACCCAUAUCUCUUAAAAUAUUGUUUCUUAAUCAGGUAUCAAAAAUUGUACCCUUGUCCAUGUUUAAUUUCCUUUGUAAGCAUCUCUGCCAAUUUAAGUUGAUUUCCUACCAUUCCUUUGCAAGAAUGAUAUACACUUUCUAUUGUUUCAAUGAUCUGCAUGCAAAUUUUUUUUUUUUUUUGUUAGCACAAUAAAUCUCAAGUACAGGACAUAGUGAUGUAUGAGUUUGUGACUAUUUUGUGCAAAACGUAUGAAAGGUCUUUUUAGGACUAGUCCUUUGUAAUUGUGGAUUCUUCUUGUGAGCAGAUAUACCCGCCUAUUAAUGUGCUCCCAUCGCUCUCACGGCUGAUGAAGAGUGCUAUAGGUGAGGGAAUGACUCGUCGAGACCAUGCUGAUGUGUCCAACCAGUUAUAUGCAAAUUAUGCUAUUGGAAAAGAUGUACAGGCAAUGAAAGCUGUGGUUGGAGAGGAAGCUCUUUCUUCUGAGGAUUUGCUUUAUCUAGAGUUUCUGGAUAAGUUUGAGAGAAAAUUUGUGACACAAGGUGCAUAUGACACUCGUAACAUCUUCCAGUCACUUGAUCUUGCCUGGACACUACUUCGUAUCUUCCCUCGUGAGCUUCUUCACCGAAUUCCAGCAAAGACAUUAGACCAGUAUUACAGCCGUGACUCAACAAACUGAGCUGAUAGAGCUAGUGGUUUUGCCUUCCGCUCAUUUUAAUCCAUUUCUCAAUAAGAGCGGGCAUGAGUCAUGCGGUUCCUCCAACCAAGUUUCAUGCUCAGCCAUUAAAGUGGUAUGGUUUCUCAACUGGAGUGCAUCUGUUUGUCUAGUUUUUACAGUUACGGAAUUCUUUGUAUUAAGGACCCCGAGAGCUUUUGCGAAGAUUGUAUUUUUCAGUUAUUAUUUGGUAAUGCCUUUCUCUGUACUUCGGCCAUCUGGAAAUGAUAGGAAAUUAUAUAGAAACGCCAAACCCCUUUGUAUUAAAUUUAUAUCCCCUCUCAAGUAGAAUAAAUACAUGUAAGUCAGAUUGAAUGUGCAAUCAUCUUAUGUGAGUUUAGACCCAGAAGCUCUCGUAAGAACAUUGUCUGUCACAAGACAAAAUAAUUCAUCAACCAAUAAUAAUAUUGCCCUUUUGUUAAAAAUUCAAUAAUGAAUAUUGUUUUCUAAAUCACAACAUGGACAAUUAAAGAUUUAAAAGAAUCAAUUCUUACACAUUGCAUUCCAUUUGUUCUAACUUGCAUUUCGUAUUUCUUUUCUCAUUUUACAUAUCACAGCGAUCCAAGUUUUGGGUAAUCUUGUUCUACACAAUGGGCAAGAACUAUGCCCCAUAAACCACUUGCCAAUACAUGGUAGAUGGAAGGUGUGGUGGCAAUAGGGCAAGCUACAAGCCGUUUCCCCCAACUGGAAGUCCUGAAGACAAAUGGAACAGGAUGGUCCAUUCCAUAGGGUAUCCACUAUGUUUUCCUCAGUCAGUUUAAUCUUUGGAAUUUCCUGUGUCCUCCUGGGGAUCUCCUUGCGCAUUAUAUGGACAGCAUCUCCCUGACUUUCUUGUAGAACUUGGAUGGCAGGACUAAGCCUUCGUUGUAAGAGUGUUUGUUUUAGGCGAUUUGAAGCGUUUUCAAUCAAAGAAAUGAAGCACUCAAUAGCAUAAUCGUCAGAAUCCCAGAAAGCAAAUGAUGCUUUAAAGAUCUCAGCAGAGAGCACACACCCCAUAAUGGUCCCAAUUGUGGCGCCAUGAAGAAAGCUGCUCUUGCUUUUUACUCCUACCAGAGCUCCGGAAAUGGCUCCCAGUGUUGUGCCAACUACUGCGAAUAUGAAUGCAGAGAUUGCCAAAAACAAGCUACAAGAAAUUGCAGAAACCCAUACAGCGAAAGAAGAAGAAAAAGACGCAUAAAUCUCCAUGUGCUAGCUGGUCUAGAUCAUAUCAGAAUAACACUUGCAGGUGAAAACAACAAAAAAUGGAAUUAAAAAGGGAGAGGCUAAGCAAGAGAGAAGGUAUGGGGAGCAAAACAAAGGAUACAAAGCAAAACAUGUAUAUUUAUAUACAAUGGAAGAAACCAAGCAUAUACAAAGCAGCAGCCACAACGAGAAAAACUGACCCAAAUCCCGUUGGACAUAAUCAACUUGUUUUUGAAGUUUAAUUAGAUGUGAA